GAGUGACGGGGGAAACACAACAUGGGGGCAGAAAAGCUAGGUUGGCGCUGUGGUGUUUCCAACAACUUGAACAAGCUGUGUAGACAUAAUGUUGCCCAAAGGUUUCUUCAACCGUGUCCGGUCAACUCAACUCAAAAUACCGGUCAAAAUACCUCGCCUGUCAUUUCUGUCAAAUAUCUAUCAAAUGGAAUUGGUGGAAGAUAUGGUGAAAGUCUUUCAAGAUGAAAUAUUGAAAUAAAGACUACGAACAAGAA